rnacentral:rRNA from 1 species
UACGUAGGGUGCGAGCGUUGUCCGGAAUUACUGGGCGUAAAGAGCUCGUAGGUGGUUUGUCGCGUUGUUCGUGAAAACUCACAGCUCAACUGUGGGCGUGCGGGCGAUACGGGCAGACUGGAGUACUGCAGGGGAGACUGGAAUUCCUGGUGUAGCGGUGAAAUGCGCAGAUAUCAGGAGGAACACCAAUGGCGAAGGCAGCACUCUGGGACGGUACUGACGCUGAGGCGCGAAAGCGUGGGGAGCGAACAGG